rnacentral:siRNA from 1 species
GCACGUCUGCCUGGGUGUCA